AUGCCUCCGAGACGCGACACCGGAUUUGUUUUCCCACCAGAGAUCACUCAGUUGAUUCAGCAACAGAAUGCCCUGAUGCAAGUGUUGGUACAGAACCAAGGCAACAACAACAACAACAAGCCACCACCUCCACCUGUUGAUCACUUAGCCCGUUUCUUGAGGCUAAAUCCGCCGGUGUUUUCCAGCAGCACCGAGCCGAUUGUUGCAGAUGCUUGGCUCCGCAAAGUUGGAAGGGAGUUGGCCACUGCAGGAUGCACAGAUGCGGAAAGAGUGCGUUUUGCCGCACAUCAGCUGGAUGGACCCGCAGCAUCAUGGUGGGAGAAUUACACAGCCACACACCCUAUUGACACUGUCACAUGGGACCAGUUUCAGCAAGCUUUCCGUACAUCCCAUGUUUCAGAAGGAGCUAUGGCUAUGAAGAAGCGUGAGUUUCGCAACCUACGCCAAGGAGGACGCACCGUAGGCCACUAUGUGGAGGAUUUUAGUAAGUUAACACGUUAUGCACCAGAUGACGUUGCUACAGAUGCAGCCAAGCAGGAGAAGUUUUUGGAAGGACUGAAUGAUGAGCUGAGCAUGCAGCUAAUGGUAGCAACCUUCAACAACUACCAGGAGUUGGUAGAUAGAGCACUCAUGAUUGAAGGGAAGCAGCAGCAGAUUGAAAACCGUAAGAGGAAGUAUGGACAAGGGAAGUACAAUUCUGGAGCUCAGCAGAAGCCACAUUUUGCCCCGAAACCAGGAGGGCAGUUUCAACAUACCCAUGGAGGAAGUAGUACGCACAACCAUAAUGGCUCCAAGAAUGGUAAUGGGAAUGGAGGAAGCAACGGACAGAACCGCACCAACCCAUCUACCCCAGCCAAGAGGGAUAUAAGUCACAUAAAUUGUUGCAAGUGCCAGAAGACUGGACACUAUGCAAAUGAUUGUCCUGAAGCCCAGAAUGGAAAUGGCAAUGGAAGCUCUGGGAAGAAGCCGAACCCUUUCAAUAAAGGACAUGGGAACCACGUGAGCGUGGAAGUGGUUGAAGCACAGCCUGAUGCAGUAAUAGGUAAGUUUAUGGUUAAGUCAUUUACUGCACUCGUUCUUUUUGAUACUGGCGCUUCGCAUUCAUACAUAUCAAGGGGAUUUGUGGAUAAGUAUAAACUGCCAACCCAAGCCCUUAGGUCACCCAUGUUAGUAACCUCACCAGGAGCAGAGUAUAUGGCUAGUUUAUGGUGUGAACGGUUACCGUUAAGGAUUGGUAACUACCUGUUGCCCUCAGACCUAAUAAUAUUGGAAUCGCAAGGAUUGGAUGUGAUAUUAGGCAUGGAUUGGUUAUCAAAGUAUGGAGGGAACAUUGAUUGUGCCAAUAAGUCGAUUAUGCUUACCACCCCAGAAGGAAGAAGGAUUAAGUAUGUAUCCCGGCAUGUGCCGAAGAGGACUCAAGUGAAUUCCUUAUCAGGAGUUGUACAGGAGGAGGUACCAGUGGUGAAGGAUUACCCGGACGUAUUUCCAGAAGAGUUGCCAGGCAUGCCACCAGAUAGAGACAUUGAGUUUCUGAUUGAACUUUUGCCAGGCACAGGGCCAAUAUCUAAGAGACCGUACAGGAUGCCCGCAAAAGAUUUGGAGGAAAUUAAGAAGCAGAUUAAGGAGUUAUUGGAUAAAGGCUAUAUUCGCCCAAGUUCGUCACCUUGGGGAUCACCAGUACUUCUAGUGGAGAAGAAAGAUGGAUCGUCGAGGAUGGUUGUUGAUUACCGUGGAUUGAAUGAAGUGACCAUCAAAAACAAGUACCCACUACCGAUGAUCAAUGAUUUGUUUGACCGCUUACAAGGAGCUAAAGUAUUUUCCAAGAUUGAUCUACGAUCAGGAUACCAUCAGUUAAAGAUUCAAGAGCAGGAUAUACCUAAGACAGCCUUUACCACCAGAUAUGGGCUAUAUGAGUAUACCAUUAUGUCAUUUGGUCUGACUAACGCACCUGCCUAUUUCAUGAACCUGAUGAACAAAGUGUUUAUGGAGUUUUUGGAUAAGUUCGUCGUGGUGUUCAUAGACGAUAUUUUAGUCUUUUCCAAGAAUGAAGAAGAGCAUAAGGAGCAUUUGCGUUUGGUACUUGAGAAGCUCAGAGAACAUUAG
rnacentral:rRNA from 1 species